CAACCUUCAAUCUUGAAUGCCUGCCUGGGAUUUGUAGUGGGCCUUUCUAAAUCCAAGGUGGGAGGGUUGGCUCGAUGAGGAGAAAUGUGCAUAGAAACCCGAGAUGUAGUUAUACCUCGAAGGGAUGAAGAUGCAGAUGAAGGAGGAAGUGGUUCCUCUGAAGCAACUGACUUUUGGGGGGGGGGAUGACCUGGGCUCCCGAGGAGGAAGCCCCCUCUUGGGGCUGAUCCCUGAAUCGAUGCCUGAGGAGAGCUAGCAGCUAGCUAGACGAGGUCGACCUUAGCUUGACCUCUUUUGGGGAUA
rnacentral:lncRNA from 1 species